UUAAGCGACUAAGCGUACACGGUGGAUGCCCUGGCAGUCAGAGGCGAUGAAGGACGUGCUAAUCUGCGAAAAGCGUCGGUAAGGUGAUAUGAACCGUUAUAACCGGCGAUGUCCGAAUGGGGAAACCCAGUGCAAUUCGUUGCACUAUCGUUAACUGAAUACAUAGGUUAACGAGGCGAACCGGGGGAACUGAAACAUCUAAGUACCCCGAGGAAAAGAAAUCAACCGAGAUUCCCCCAGUAGCGGCGAGCGAACGGGGAGCAGCCCAGAGUCUGAAUCAGCUUGUGUGUUAGUGGAACGGUCUGGAAAGUCCGACGGUACAGGGUGAUAGUCCCGUACACCAAAAUGCACAGGCUGUGAACUCGAAGAGUAGGGCGGGACACGUGGUAUCCUGUCUGAAUAUGGGGGGACCAUCCUCCAAGGCUAAAUACUCCUGACUGACCGAUAGUGAACCAGUACCGUGAGGGAAAGGCGAAAAGAACCCCGGCGAGGGGAGUGAAAAAGAACCUGAAACCGUGUACGUACAAGCAGUGGGAGCACCUUCGGGUGUGACUGCGUACCUUUUGUAUAAUGGGUCAGCGACUUAUAUUCUGUAGCAAGGUUAACCGUAUAGGGGAGCCGCAGGGAAACCGAGUCUUAACUGGGCGUUAAGUUGCAGGGUAUAGACCCGAAACCCGGUGAUCUAGCCAUGGGCAGGUUGAAGGUUGGGUAACACUAACUGGAGGACCGAACCGACUAAUGUUGAAAAAUUAGCGGAUGACUUGUGGCUGGGGGUGAAAGGCCAAUCAAACCGGGAGAUAGCUGGUUCUCCCCGAAAGCUAUUUAGGUAGCGCCUCGUGAACUCAUCUUCGGGGGUAGAGCACUGUUUCGGCUAGGGGGUCAUCCCGACUUACCAACCCGAUGCAAACUACGAAUACCGAAGAAUGUUAUCACGGGAGACACACGGCGGGUGCUAACGUCCGUCGUGAAGAGGGAAACAACCCAGACCGCCAGCUAAGGUCCCAAAGUCAUGGUUAAGUGGGAAACGAUGUGGGAAGGCACAGACAGCCAGGAUGUUGGCUUAGAAGCAGCCAUCAUUUAAAGAAAGCGUAAUAGCUCACUGGUCGAGUCGGCCUGCGCGGAAGAUGUAACGGGGCUAAACCAUGCACCGAAGCUGCGGCAGCGACACGAUGUGUUGUUGGGUAGGGGAGCGUUCUGUAAGCCUGCGAAGGUGUGCUGUGAGGCAUGCUGGAGGUAUCAGAAGUGCGAAUGCUGACAUAAGUAACGAUAAAGCGGGUGAAAAGCCCGCUCGCCGGAAGACCAAGGGUUCCUGUCCAACGUUAAUCGGGGCAGGGUGAGUCGACCCCUAAGGCGAGGCCGAAAGGCGUAGUCGAUGGGAAACAGGUUAAUAUUCCUGUACUUGGUGUUACUGCGAAGGGGGGACGGAGAAGGCUAUGUUAGCCGGGCGACGGUUGUCCCGGUUUAAGCAUGUAGGCUGGUUGUCCAGGCAAAUCCGGAUAAUCAAGGCUGAGGUGUGAUGACGAGGCACUACGGUGCUGAAGUAACAAAUGCCCUGCUUCCAGGAAAAGCCUCUAAGCAUCAGGUAACAUCAAAUCGUACCCCAAACCGACACAGGUGGUCAGGUAGAGAAUACCAAGGCGCUUGAGAGAACUCGGGUGAAGGAACUAGGCAAAAUGGUGCCGUAACUUCGGGAGAAGGCACGCUGGUGUGUAGGUGAAGCCCCUGCGGGUGGAGCUGAGACCAGUCGAAGAUACCAGCUGGCUGCAACUGUUUAUUAAAAACACAGCACUGUGCAAACACGAAAGUGGACGUAUACGGUGUGACGCCUGCCCGGUGCCGGAAGGUUAAUUGAUGGGGUUAUCCGUAAGGAGAAGCUCUUGAUCGAAGCCCCGGUAAACGGCGGCCGUAACUAUAACGGUCCUAAGGUAGCGAAAUUCCUUGUCGGGUAAGUUCCGACCUGCACGAAUGGCGUAAUGAUGGCCAGGCUGUCUCCACCCGAGACUCAGUGAAAUUGAACUCGCUGUGAAGAUGCAGUGUACCCGCGGCAAGACGGAAAGACCCCGUGAACCUUUACUAUAGCUUGACACUGAACAUUGAGCCUUGAUGUGUAGGAUAGGUGGGAGGCUUUGAAGCGUGGACGCCAGUCUGCGUGGAGCCAACCUUGAAAUACCACCCUUUAAUGUUUGAUGUUCUAACGUUGGCCCCUGACCGGGGUUGCGGACAGUGUCUGGUGGGUAGUUUGACUGGGGCGGUCUCCUCCCAAAGCGUAACGGAGGAGCACGAAGGUUAGCUAAUCCUGGUC
rnacentral:rRNA from 1 species